GAUCCAGACUGGAACUGAGACACGGUCCAGACUCCUACGGGAGGCAGCAGUCAGGAAUCUUCCACAAUGGGGGCAACCCUGAUGGAGCAACGCCGCAUGCAGGAUGAAGGCCUUCGGGUCGUAAACUGCUUUUAUUAGUGAAGACUAAGACGGUAACUAAUGAAUAAGGAUCGGCUAACUACGUGCCAGCAGCCGCGGUCAUACGUAGGAUCGAUC
rnacentral:rRNA from 1 species